GGUUGGUCUGAUGGUAGUGGGUUAUCAGAACUUAUUAACAUUAGUGUCACUGAAGUUGGCAUAUAACCCCCCACUGCUAAAUUUGGCUAAAAAA
rnacentral:Y_RNA from 1 species